rnacentral:rRNA from 1 species
AUUGAACGCUGGCGGCAUGCUUUACACAUGCAAGUCGAACGGCAGCGCGGGCUUCGGCCUGGCGGCGAGUGGCGAACGGGUGAGUAAUGCAUCGGAACGUGCCCAGUAGUGGGGGAUAGCCCGGCGAAAGCCGGAUUAAUACCGCAUACGACCUGAGGGUGAAAGCGGGGGACCGAAAGGCCUCGCGCUAUUGGAGCGGCCGAUGUCGGAUUAGCUAGUUGGUGGGGUAAAGGCUUACCAAGGCGACGAUCCGUAGCUGGUCUGAGAGGACGACCAGCCACACUGGGACUGAGACACGGCCCAGACUGCUACGGGAGGCAGCAGUGGGGAAUUUUGGACAAUGGGGGCAACCCUGAUCCAGCCAUGCCGCGUGCGGGAAGAAGGCCUUCGGGUUGUAAACCGCUUUUGUUCGGGAAGAAAUCCUCUGGGCUAAUACCCCGGGGGGAUGACGGUACCGGAAGAAUAAGCACCGGCUAACUACGU